UACAGAGGGUGCAAGCGUUAAUCGGAUUUACUGGGCGUAAAGCGUGUGUAGGUGGUCAAGAAAGUCGGUUGUGAAAUCCCUGGGCUCAACCCGGGAACUGCUUCCGAUACUUCAUGACUCGAAUUCGGUAGAGGGAGGCGGAACUCCAGGUGUAGCGGUGAAAUGCGUAGAUAUCUGGAAGAACACCAAUGGCGAAGGCAACCUCCUGGGCCUGAAUUGACGCUGAGACACGAAAGCGUGGGGAUCAAACAGG
rnacentral:rRNA from 1 species